CAAAGCUGUCUCUUACGGCCUAGCCAAUGAAAUUGAUCCUCCAGUACAAAAGCUGGAAUAAACUCAUAAGACGAGAAGACCCUGUGGAGCUUUAAAACCAAGAUCAUUAAACUAUGCUCCUUGGAUUUUUAGUUGGGGCGACUUUGGAGCAAAAAAAACCCUCCAAAACAUAAAUUUAAUUAUUUAGACCAACACACCAAGAAAAUUAUAUUAGACCCAGCAGUAUUUUUUUACUGUCUGACCAAUGAACCAAGUUACCCCAGGGAUAACAGCGCUAUCCUCUUCUAGAGUCCCUAUCGACAAGAGGGUUUACGACCUCGAUGUUGGAUCAGGACACCCCUAUAGUGCAGCCGCUAUAAAAGGUUCGUUUGUUCAACGAUUAAAGUCCUACGUGAUCUGAGUUCAGACCGGA
rnacentral:rRNA from 1 species